rnacentral:sRNA from 1 species
CCUCAUCAGAGCCCAGAGUUGUCCCCUCUUCGGCCCGCUGCCCCUGCAGGUCCCGUCGUACUUUUUGUGCGAACAGCAAGUAGACUUUGUUAGACUCCAGGGCACCACAAUACACAAAUGUGGCGAUUCCAUGACCACUCGACUGGGAUGAAAUAAAAGAGGAUUAAAUGGCUGCUGGAUGCUGCUGCGUGCUUGGAAGAGCCCUUUAGUUGUAAUUAAAAUAUGAGACAUUGUGCAGGAGAAGGGAAGGACG